UACGGAGGGUGCAAGCGUUGUCCGGAAUCACUGGGCGUAAAGGGCGCGUAGGCGGCUCAUGAAGGUUGUGGUGAAAGUCCGGGGCUCAACCUCGGAUCGGCCGUGGCGACUCGUGGGCUGGAGCACUGUAGAGGCGGGUGGAAUUCCGGGUGUAGCGGUGGAAUGCGUAGAGAUCCGGAAGAACACCAGUGGCGAAGGCGGCCCGCUGGGCAGUGGCUGACGCUGAGGCGCGACAGCGUGGGGAGCAAACAGG
rnacentral:rRNA from 1 species